UGCAAGUGCAAUCAGGUGCAUCUUUUAGAUAUGCAGGAAAAGGAUCUUCUGGAUCUCAAGGCUUUGAAGUUGAAAAUUAAGAAAGAGUUUGAAGAGAUGCAGUCACAGUUUCAAGGAUUUUUUAAUGAUAUUGGAAGUCAAAUACAGGAGAUGACAACUAAAGCUCUUAUAUA